CCGCCAACGCAGCUGGAGUUGCACAUGAAGUUGUACAAGAUGGUGGUGAAUUCCGUGCCCACCUGAUGGGAAACGGCAAGUGAGGUGUGGUUCACCCACACGCGUCGGAAGCCAGAAGAAAUCGACAAGACAUACAGUUGCAGAUUACAAACACAAGCUCAGGCCGUGAAUUCAACAGAAGCUGCUCAUGCGGAAAUAAAAAUCGAAUGAAAAACACAAUUGUCGUUUUUGUUUACCAAGGUGUGGUCAUGUUGUGGAAAAAAAUCAAAAUGACAAGAAAUGACAUUUCCACCAGACAUGGACGGAAGCUUGUCACACAAAAAUAAACAUCAAACUACAAACAAGAUGCGUUUUGAAAUCCAAAUGACAGAAAUGACAUUUAAUUUUAGUUGGUGCGCAACGGGACAGUUGCACAGAAUCCGAAAGAAGCUACAAACGCAAAA